GGUGACCACUGUAAAAGUGUUGCUUACUAUUCUUCUAGGAAAAAAAAUAUAUAUAUAUAAAUAUAGACCAUGUUUUAUUUACACCAAAGAGGUUCUUCUACUCAUGGUUCUGUACCUCGUGUUUUUCCCUUGACAACAUAUCUGGAGGCUUCACUUUCCCUCCCUGCAACUAACUCACUCUUGUUAAUUGCUGCGCACUCUUGUUGUGUUAAGGUACCAGGAUGGUUUAACCUCAUCCUCUCUCUGUAGACCCUUGACUAUUUCUAGAUUUUUGCUAUUACAGAUGACUUCGCGGCAAAUUCCUCACUUGCCUAUCUUGACCUAUUUGGGGGGGGUGGGGCGUAAAGUGGGGGAGUAAAUUCUCAGGAAUAGAACGGAUCGGCUAAAGCAUAUGCGGUUAAAUGUGGAUGGAGAUGGCCCAGCCGUCCCACAAGACCUGCCGGCAGCCUCCUCUGUUCCCAUCAAGCAUAGGAAAACACCCCUUCCCUGGGGGUGGGGGUGGGGGGACACUAGAAAUUAUCAAGCUUUUCUAAUUUUGUCAGCCUCACGGGGAUAAAAAAAAAAAAAUAGCAUUUCAUUGUUGUUUGGAUAUGCAUUUCUUUAAUUAUCACUGUGGCCAAACAUCUUUUCAUAUGUUUAUUAGCUGUUGUAUUUGUUCUUCUCUGAAUAGAUUGUUCCUUUCCUGCGUCUCAUUUUUUUUUUCCCCUGCUGAACCAGAAAUACAUUUUAAACUAUCUUGUGAGACCCAAAGCAACAUCCAGAUCUCAAGUUUUUAAACCUUAUCAAUGUUAUUUCCCUUUAUUCUGCGGUGGCACAUCUCAGGGAGGGGUGAGGGUCCAGACACAUGUCCCCUCUGUGUCUUGAACAGGGACCCUCUGUUCAGAAGGGGCUGCCUGCUCCCGCCCCAAGUAGAACAAGGCCAUUAAUGAGUUAGCAUCCCAGUGGUGCAGAGCGGGGCUACACCGGUCAGACCGGGCUCGCCCAGCUGCUAGGGACCCCGCUCUAAGACACGGAUCGGCUGCAGGCCUCCGUGUCGUCCAUUUAGAUGAGGCCUCCAUUGACCGCCUCUUGUGCACCUCGGGAGGUCACAUCCUUGACACCAUCUGCUGGCCCGUGAAGACCAGCAGCCUGCCAGGAAGCCUGCCAGGCUGGGAUGCUCUUCCACUCCAGGGCCGUCCUCCACCCCACCCCCGACUCCCGCCCUGGUGCAAAGGGGAUUCAUUCCCUGGCCAAGCUCCCCCUCUCGCAGCAGAUAAUUUAUAAAAGGAAAAUGAGCCUCUUUGGGCACAUUGAUGACUUUGUCCUGACCUCCCGCUGGUCAGGCCCUGAGCGUGUGUUUUAGUGAGUGUAGGUGAUGGGUUCAGCCCCUGUAAAUGGAAUGUUAUUCCUCGGUCUGUUCAUUCGCCCAUUCAUCGAACCAAACAUUUGUGGAGAGGCAGUUUGAUAGAGAAACUAAAAGUUGGUUGCAGUUCCUGUCGUGGCUCAGCGGUAACAAAUCUGACUGGUAUCCAUGAGGAUGUGGGUUCGAUCCCUGGCCUCGCUCAGUGGGUUAACAAUCUGGCAUUGCCAUGAUGGGCCAGCAGCUACGGCUCCAAAUCGACUGGGAACUUCCAUAUGACGUGAGGGCAGCCCUAAAAAGCCAAAAAAAAAAAAAAAAA
ensembl:lncRNA